rnacentral:rRNA from 1 species
UAGUACCGUGAGGGAAAGGUGAAAAGAACCCCUAUUAGGGGAGUGAAAUAGAUCCUGAAACUGUAUGCUUACAAACUGUCGAAGCCCCAUGUGGGUGACGACGUACCUUUUGUAUAAUGGGUCAGUGACUUAAUUUAUGUAGCAAGCUUAAGCCGUUUAGGUGUAGGCGUAGCGAAAGCGAGUCUUAAUAGGGCGAUUAGUUACAUGGAUUAGAACCCGAAACCGAGUGAUCUAGCUAUGAGCAGGUUGAAGGCAAGGUAAUACUUGCUGGAGGACCGAACCAGUUGACGUUGAAAAGUCUUUGGAUGACUUGUUGCUAGGGGUGAAAGGCCAAUCAAACUCGGAGAUAGCUGGUUUUCCGCGAAAACUAUUUAGGUAGUGCGUUGAGAUAUAGAUUUUGAGGGGUAGAGCACUAAAUAGGCUAGGGGGAAGAAAUUCUUACUAAACCUAAUAAAACUCCGAAUACUCAAAAUUGUUCCUCAGCAGACAGACGGUGAAUGCUAACGUCCAUCGUCGAGAGGGAAACAACCCAGACCACCAAUUAAGGUCCCCAAGUUAUGGUUAAGUGUGAAAGGAUGUGAAGACUCCAAAACAGCCGGGAGGUUGGCUUAGAAGCAGCCAUCCUUUAAAGAUAGCGUAACAGCUCACCGGUCUAAUUAAGAGACUUUGCGCCUAAGAUGUAACGGGGCUCAAACCAUACACCGAAAUUGUGGAUUGAUAGAAGUCUUCGGACUUUUAUUUCUGGUAGCGGAACGUUCUGUAAGCCUGUGAAGAGAGACCCGUGAGGGCUCUUGGAGGUAUCAGAAGUGCGAAUGCUGACAUAAGUAACGACAAACAGAGUGAAAGACUCUGUCGCCGAGAGUACAAGGGUUCCUGCGUAAAGUUAAUCUUCGCAGGGUUAGCCGGCCCCUAAGACGAGGACGAAAGUCGUAGUCGAUGGGAAUCAGGUAAAUAUUCCUGAGCCAGGUGGUAGUGACGGAUCAUGUAAAUUGUUAACUCUUAUUGGAUUGAGUUGGCUGUGAAGUGGUCCCAGGAAAUAGCUCCAUCAUAAGACCGUACCCCAAACGGACACACGUGUACCGGUAGAGUAUACCUAGGCGCUUGAGAGAAUGAUGUUGAAGGAACUCGGCAAAAUGCUUCCGUAACUUCGGGAUAAGGAAGACCCAAUAAUGGGCAACCAUAUUUGGGUGGCACAAGCCAGGGAGAAGCGACUGUUUAUCAAAAACACAGCACUCUGCUAACACGUAAGUGGAUGUAUAGGGUGUGACGCCUGCCCGGUGCUGGAAGGUUAAAGGGAGAUGUGCAAGCAUCAAACUGAAGCCCCAGUGAACGGCGGCCGUAACUAUAACGGUCCUAAGGUAGCGAAAUUCCUUGUCGGGUAAGUUCCGACCUGCAUGAAUGGCGUAACGAUUUCUCCGCUGUCUCCAACAUCAACUCAGUGAAAUUGAAUUCUCCGUGAAGAUGCGGAGUUCCCGUGGUUAGACGGAAAGACCCCGUGCACCUUUACUAUAACUUUACAUUGGUAUUAGAAAUGACAUGUGUAGCAUAGGAGGGAGACUUUGAAGUGAUGGCGCCAGCCGUCAUGGAGUCUUUAGUGAAAUACCUCUCUUGUUAUUUUUGAUAUCUAACUGCAUGCCAUUAUCUGGCUGCAAGACACUGUAUGGUGGGUAGUUUGACUGGGGCGGUCGCCUCCUAAAGAGUAACGGAGGCGUGCGAAGGUUGGCUCAGACCGGUCAGAAAUCGGUCGUUGAGUGCAAUGGCAUAAGCCAGCCUGACUGCAAGACUGACAAGUCGAGCAGAGACGAAAGUCGGUCAUAGUGAUCCGGUGGUUCUGAGUGGAAGGGCCAUCGCUCAACGGAUAAAAGGUACGCCGGGGAUAACAGGCUGA